rnacentral:rRNA from 1 species
AACGCGAAGAACCUUACCUAGGCUUGACAUGCAGAAGAUCGCACCAGAGAUGGUGCUUCCCUUCGGGGCUUCUGCACAGGUGCUGCAUGGCUGUCGUCAGCUCGUGCCGUGAGGUGUUGGGUUAAGUCCCGCAACGAGCGCAACCCUUAUCGUUAGUUGCCAACAGUUUCGGCUGGGUACUCUAACGAGACUGCCUGGGUUAACCAGGAGGAAGGCGAGGAUGACGUCAAGUCCGCAUGGCCCUUAUGUCUAGGGCUACACACGUGCUACAAUGGUCGGUACAAUAGGCAGCAAAGCCGCGAGGUAGAGCAAAUCCUACAAAGCCGAUCCCAGUUCAGAUUGUAGUCUGCAACUCGACUACAUGAAGUUGGAAUUGCUAGUAAUGGCGAGUCAGCAACAUCGCCGUGAAUACGUUCCCGGGCCUUGUACACACCGCUCGUC